UACGUAGGCAGCGAGCGUUGUUCGGAAUUACUGGGCGUAAAGAGUGUGUAGGCGGUGCUCCCAGUCUGUUGUGAAAUCUCCCGGCUUAACUGGGAGGGUGCAGCGGAAACUAGAGUGCUAGAGUGUGGGAGAGGAAAGUGGAAUUCCUGGUGUAGCGGUGAAAUGCGUAGAUAUCAGGAGGAACACCGGUGGUGUAAACGGCUUUCUGGACCAUAACUGACGCUGAGGCACGAAAGCGUGGGUAGCAAACAGG
rnacentral:rRNA from 1 species